UUUCUUGCUUCGGCAAGUAAAAGGAAGUAGCUUGUCACGGCGUACACUCACGGGCGAGAGGAUGAGAUCAUCCCCGACCCCGCUGUUACGCACGCACUCGCUGGUGAGAUCCAGCCUGCAUUUAUGCACACACUCAACAGCAAGAUCCUGCCUGUUCUUACACAAGAAAGCAAGAAGUGUUUUCGAUUGGGUGCCAGCGCAUCUGUAUGUCAGCGUUCAGUUGGUGUGUAUGAGGACUGUGAUUCUCGACCUACUCAAUGUGUAAAGUGCCCUGAGGUAACUUCUGUUGUAAAUUGGCGCUACAGAAUAUACAGUAAGUAAAAUUGACUUGCCAUUGCAUCUUUUCACAUCCUGUAUCAAAGGAUUCAACAAUUUAAAAACAACUACUUUCUUCUGGUUUCACCAUCUCUCUCCUUCCCAUGUGUGAAUGACCUUAUGCUCUCCCUCAGUGACUUCACACAAGGAGGAAGUGAGAUUAGACAAACACGUGGGCCUUGUCAGCGUGCUCCCAUGAGAUCAUCCACUAACCUCAGCACUACCGCAUGAUUCAACAACAACACCCUGCUCUUAAAGCACUGCUAUUUUAGCACCAACUGUCUAACUGAAACGUUAUUGUGAGACUUGUUGUGAUGUGAUGGCCACCCAAAAAAGAGCAAGGCAAAAGACCAUUGGAAGGUUGUCCUGCCCUGUACCUGGCAGAAGCUUCUGGAAUGUGGGAGCACUGUGUGCUCUAAAGUCCUGCUUUUGUUUUUACAGCCCUCACACAGGAAGCUCUCUCUCUCUCUGGUGGGGGCCUCAUUCAUGUCUGACAAAACGCUGACUGAACCCUCCACCCACCCAAAUAAACCUCCACCUCUCUGGCUAUUCUCCAAAAUACACACAACAUGUUUGCUUUCUUUUAUUUUUGGUCUUUGUGUGCCACUGUAAAUUCUCCCAGCCUCCAUAAAGGAGCUUCAUUUAAAACACUAAUUAAAAUAAAUGGGCAAGAACCUCAGGGGAAAAGGCCUUGAGUCUCGCUUGGAAUUAUUUGAUGUCUUACAUAAUUAUGUGCUGGAAUCCUAAGGAGAACCAAACAUUCAUACAUUGGAGUCUCGUUCUACUUUAAACCAAACACGGUUUCCAAUAGAAAAUAAUCGAACAUGACUUUCACCAUGGUAAUUGUAUCACAGUAACUUCAAUGUCGCAAGUAUAAAGACAUGAUCAGCAUAAUACAACGAAAAUAAAGUAAAACUACUCACGCUUUGAAGUCACGUGACG